rnacentral:rRNA from 1 species
GACGUAGGGGGCGAGCGUUGUCCGGAUUUAUUGGGCGUAAAGCGCGCGUAGGCGGCUCGGAAAGUCGGAUGUGAAAAUCCGGGGCUCAACCCCGGACCUGCAUCCGAUACUCCCGGGCUGGAGGCAGGUAGGGGAGAUCGGAAUUCCUGGUGUAGCGGUGAAAUGCGCAGAUAUCAGGAGGAACACCGGUGGCGAAGGCGGGUCUCUGGGCCGUAACUGACGCUGAGGAGCGAAAGCGUGGGGAGCAAACGGG